UUUAUUAGCCUUUUUCUGUAGGCCCUAAAUCCUUUCCAGCAUACAAAUAAAAUAUAUAACAUUUAUAGGUAGUCUUUUUUUUUUCCUCUGGAGGGUUGCAAAAUUCUCCAAAGGCAACAUGUAAUUGAUUACUGUAAAAAUAUGAGCAUUAAAAUUUAUAAUUCUUUUGUAGUAAUUAAUUUUUUGGUGACAUUUAGCUCAAUAGUGCAAUUAGAUUUUCUUAAUAUUUGUAUAUACACUUCUAGAGCUGAGGUAAAGUUAGAUUUUCUAAUGUGAGGGAAGAUAUCCUCAGGAAAAAAAAUGCAACGCAUUUUAUUAUACAUUAAAUUCAUUCAAUAAAUAUUUGAGUCUACUAUCUUUAAGGCACUGUGGGAGAUGCUCUCCAGGUGCUUAGCAUAAACUAAAUAAAAAAUAACUGUCAUACAUGCAACUGUGAUGUACCUUAAACCAAUCUUGUAUUGUUCCAUCUCAUAAGUUUAUGAGCCAAGUAAAUUCUAGGGCCCAGACACUUUAAUGCACAAGAAACCCAAAGCUCUUUAGAAAGGCACCAAUCACCCUGUCACAGUUGAAGAUAGAUAAGUAAAAAAACAAAACAAAACAAAACAAAAAUCAAAGCACAUAAUGAAAGAUGCGGCUAAAAACUCUUUCAAAUUUUCCAAGCCAUGGAGUAACAUUGUACUCUAUGG
rnacentral:lncRNA from 1 species